rnacentral:rRNA from 1 species
UACGAAGGGGGCUAGCGUUGCUCGGAAUCACUGGGCGUAAAGCGCACGUAGGCGGAUUGUUAAGUCAGGGGUGAAAUCCUGGAGCUCAACUCCAGAACUGCCUUUGAUACUGGCGAUCUUGAGUCCGGGAGAGGUGAGUGGAACUGCGAGUGUAGAGGUGAAAUUCGUAGAUAUUCGCAAGAACACCAGUGGCGAAGGCGGCUCACUGGCCCGGUACUGACGCUGCGGUGCGAAAGCGUGGGGAGCAAACAGG